ACUAUAAGUCUCCUGAAGGAACGUUGAAGACGACGACGUUGAUAGGUCGGGUGUGUAAGUGUAGCGAUACAUUGAGCUAACCGAUACUAAUGAACCGUGAGGCUUAACCUU
rnacentral:rRNA from 1 species